UUAUUGCAGCUUCAAUGACAUUUUGUUUAAAUAAAACUAUUUUCAAUUUUUUUGAAACGUUAGACUGCAUUAGUGUUAAGUCUUUACUGCUGAAGUUUUUAACAUCAAAAAUCAGAAUAUAUAAAACAGUUAUUAGACCGGUACAUGCUCAUGUAUAAAUGGGUGUAUAUAGCUUGUAUAUGGGUGUGAGACGUGGACUCUGACCAAAGCAAUUGAAAGAAAACUUAGAUAUUUAGAGAGAAAAUCCUCAGAAGAUUCUUUGGGCCUUAUCACGACCCUAAUAGCAACCAACACCGAAUGAGAACAAAUGCGGAGGUCAAGCAAAUGUAGAGAUAUGUCUCAUGUACUGAAUUGUUUCCUGCAGUGCCGUAGAUGGAAAACAUCUUGAAGAGGGUAUCAUUACGAGGUAAG
rnacentral:lncRNA from 1 species